ensembl:lncRNA
AUGAGAAAGCCUUGGCUCUAAGGACAGAAAGCAGACCCUUAACGCUGCAGGAUGGUAGCAUGGAAGUGCUGCCCGAUGUCUCCAGCAUGAAGGAAAGGGUUAAAGAAAGAGCCGGUGCUUGUUCCUCCAUGGCAUUAUCUGUGUGAUUGCUUUUCAUAUCUUGUUUACUGUGGUUAGCAGAGCAGCUAUAAUAUAGAGUGCUGGAUGCAAUAAAUCUUGUUGCAAACAGCACACUUUUCAUCAGAGCUCAGGGAACUGCAAGGUGAUGGCUUGCUGCACUCCUCCCUUGUUGGACGGUGAGCAUCACCACACUGCAGGGCUUUCCUUUGCCAACACAGAACUCAUGAAGGCAGCAGAGGAGCAAGCAUUCAGCUGCCCUCAUCGGAUCAGCAAAUACACAGCAGGAAAGCCCCUUCUCUAAAGAGCUUCAGCGCUUGGUGCUAAUGAGAAGACAAAGGUGCCUGCUGCUCUCCUGCACCACGUUCUGCUCACAGUAACAAGCAGCUUGUUUCCCUCUGUGGCCUGGGAGUGGAUGGGAUUUUGCCUUUCAUACCUUUUUGGCUGGAGGGUGCAGGUUGGGGCUGAAGGUGAAGGAUUCACCCAUUCUGGGAAGAGACAAAGAUUUGCGACAUCCUCCCCUUCCUGUAAAUCUUAACACAUCACUGUUUUUCUAAAACCAAAAUGAAUAUUUCAUCUAUGGAAGCUGUCAGCCGGGUGCCUGCAUGUCGAGCAACCAGAGCGACCUUGCAGUUCCCUGCAGGAAUGCUGCAGGAGGUGAGGCCAAGGAGCCAUCCUCCCAACACGUAGCCUCCACUUGGAGGACUAAAAAGGAUUGAGCUACACCUCAGACUUCUUUCUCUGUCUUACAACUUCCCAGUUUCUCUUCAGGAAGAAGCAUAGAAAUGGUUUGCCACGUUCCUGAUGAUUGCAGAAAGGGAGCAAAAUAUACAGUGAUGGUUGAAAUGGUUUAUCAUCUAGAGUGCUCCAAAGGAUAAACAACACAGAGAAUGAGAGAACUGCUGGAACUCAACCUUUUGACAGCACGUGAAAUCCCAAUAACAAUCUUGGAAAUGUGCUGAUUGAGGGAUUAGCAUGAAAGGCAUCCAGCUGGGGUGCUCUGCUCUGCUCUGGGUGGCAGCACCGGGAACCUCGAGGAAGGUCAGUAGAUCGCUCCAACUCUCGGUCCUUCCUGCUGGAAACAGCGUAAGAAGCUCCUCGUGGAGGACCAGAUGCUGUAUCUGUGCAUAUUGUGCCAGAGUAAACAGAAUAAGAAAACCCUUUUCAUUUGUUUGAGCAGCUGCCAAUCUCCAGUGCAUUUUCCACUUCAGCAUUUGCAAAGACAAACUGGCCGUGUAACUGUAUUUCUAAUGAUAGUGUGUAAUUUAAAUACCUAUUUCUAUUGCUAUUGAAACGUUACGAGCAACCUCUAAAAGUGCGAUCAGAAGGGUUACAAGUGCAGUGACAUAGAAGAAGCCCAUUGUGCCAGCCAGGCACAUUUCUCCUGGCUGCAUUACAUCUGAGAGCGGGCAGAAAAGCAACAUCGUGAAAUAAGACCUGGAGGAUCUGGCGUGGUUUCUGUUUUAAGGUAUGGCUGCUAUGUCAUCCUCAUCUCCAUCUCAACUAUUUCUGCAACGGUGCUCAUUCAAACACAGGCAGAUAGAUAUGGCCAGAAAUGCAGACUUGGCACCAUAUAGGAUGCAAAGAAUAUUAUAUACCUCCUAGGAAGAUAAAGUCAUGUCAAGUGAGAAGCACAAAGCUGUCACCUUGCGCUGUAGCCCUGCACAGCCUCAUGCGAUUGUGUGCAUUUGCCUCCAACACGGAAGGCUGCUGCAAUCUCUGUUGCUGGCAUUUUGAGGACAACUUACGACGUUAAUGAAAAGGGUGUGAGCCCGAACCACAUCAGCCCUGUGUGUAAGUGGGGGAGAGCACUGAGGUUUGGGGUUAUCCCCAGCUGCGCCCCAGGCAAUGCCCCUUAAGCCCCAAGUGCUGCACAACUGGGGGAGGACAGUGGCGGACUUUAGGUGGUUUGCAGGAACACAAUGCUGACUGCAGACUGUACAGCUCCUUAAUUAAUGACUUGCUGGCUUCAUUCUCGAGCCAUGGCUCCUCCAUUAGACUAUUCCAGUCACAUACGCUCCUGAAACAGCUUCAGCUCUUUGAGAUGCAGUCCAAGAGAUGAAUAAAUAACAAUAAGCUCCUGCUGGAAUGCAUUCAGGAAACAUUUGAUAGAAACUCAUUUAUUUUACUUUAUUAUUUAGCAAGCUAAUAUAUAAACUCACCUAACAUAACAGCAGAUUAGCUGAGGCACUCACUUUCUAUUAGCGCGUGGUUACGUUACUGAAAGCCUCAAGUAUAUUUUCAGAGAGGGAGUUAUGUAAGAAACUUUUUUUUAACAAAAAGUGAAAGAUAUUCUAAGGGCUUCCUGACAUAAAAGCGUACUGAAAUAGUUCUGUGUCCUCAAGCCUUUAAAAUAUUGGUUCCUUAGCUGAGCUUCACCUCAAAAACUUGCAUUUCUGGUUGGUUUUAAGAUAUAUCACUGGAAACUGGAAUAAAGCUAAUGUGAACCCGAAGCACUUUGGCUGCCUGCACACAAGCAGCUCUGCUUGGCACCAGAAGGCAGCCAGGCAGCUCGGGGUAGUAGGGAACCAGAGAGGGCAGAAGAAUGCUGCCAACUAUUUUGACCAGGCUGUAAAUAGUCACUGCUGCAGUGAGCCCUUUGCUAGAAACUGUGCAUUCGUGUUACUAAAAAACAGUUACAAUGGUCAGGGUGAAACCUGGAAGGACUGUGAUGCACUCGCCAGCUUUGGGAAAUGGUCCGAUCCCCAGGGUAUCGAGGACAGGAAAGUAAACCUUCAAUGAUAACCAUCCACUGUGGAGAGCUCUUUCAUUUUUAGAGGAGUUUUUUGUAGUUGUUGUCUGAUUUGUCAGAUAAAUAUCUGCAAAUCCUUGGGUCCUGUCCAGAUACUACAAAAUAUAAAUGGAGAUCCACCUAACACAUACCAGGGGAAAAUGAAAGUUGAGUGAGUUGUGUGCUUGAGCUGUUUUAUUUGUGCAGCCAUUUGUUUAGCAGUCAUCCUGGCAGCCUUUCUGCCCCUUCAGUUCAUAGAAUGGCCUGGGUUGAAAAAGACCACAACGCUCACUGAGUUUCAACCCCCUGCUGUGUGCAGGGUCACCAACCACCAGACCAGGCUGCCCACUUCUGUGAGACUGUACAAAAUGACACAGCUUCUUUGCGUGGUUUUAUGGAAAUUAAACUUUCUAUUACUUAAAAAGGCCAAAGCAUUCAUGCAAUGUGUUGGUAUGGUUAAAAGCUGGAUGAUCGUAUAUUUAAUUGUAGCACAUAGAAGAUAAAUUAAGAAAUAGUUUAGUUCAUGGUUCAGUUUAAAAAGGAUGCGUCUGCAGUGUCAGUAACCUGAGACUGAGGGUUUGGCCAAUGGAAGCAGGUACACAAUUACUAGGAGAGAAAAUAAAUGAAGAAGAAACACAAAGCUUGGUGGAAAAAAAAAAAAAAAGAUACUUAUGCUGCUUCUUUUGAUGUAUUUAAGGAAACAUUUAAAUGGGUAAAACUGGCCAAUGUGUGAAAGAGCGUUCAGAUGUAGCAGGUCAGCGCUGAGACAGAGAAGGUCAAGUGACACUGAGCACUAACAAUGUCCCCAAGGGCUCAAUGGGAUAAAGUGAAGAAAGAAGCAUCAUAAAAAAAAAAAAAAAAAAAAAAAAAAAAAAAAAAAAAAAAAAACAAACAGAGGAUGGAGAGCACCAGGCAGAGCUGCAGCAGUUAAUUUCUGGGCUGGAUGCUAAUGCAGAGCACCAUCACAUAUGCAGUGCUGUUUUGGGAGCGGUGGAGGAGAGUGCAUGGCACAGAAUGCCAAGCUGUGCUGCUAGGCUGCCGAGUAACCAUGGGUACACCCAUGUGUUCCAUGUCUUUCCCCAUGUAUCCCAUGUCUUCCUCUCCUUGCUAUGUAUAAAUAGAGAUAUCAGUGAGCUGACACACCCUGCUCAGAUUCUAAACCCAGCUUCCCCUUUCUGUGAUCCUUCCUUGCGUUCAACCCAUCUAUUUUCGUCAGUGACCAAAAAAAUACUUUGCUGCCAUUUGUGAAUGCCUUCCUGUGCAUGUUAGCCCUGCUCCUUAACCAAAGCACCUCAGGCAUCCCGCAGCCCUUCCUCGCAGCACAACCAGCCCAGGCUGCACCAAGGCACUUCUCUCCUACCUGCAGCCCUGUGCUCACCCUUGCCAUGCUGACUGCCGCAGGUUUGGCUGCACUCUCAGGAAUUGGUUAAAUCCCAUUCUACCUACAGCCAAGGGGCUCCUGGGGGAGGGGAUGCUGUGUGGAGAACAGGCAGCGUGAGACAAAUAUAGCAGCUGUCAAGGGAGGCUUAUUUGAAGCACGUCCCCCCAAACCUACCAGUCUGCUAUGCCGGCCAUGGAUUUGUCCUUCAGUGUUUGUUUUUUCCUUGUUGGAGAGUUUGAAAGGCCCAUUUCUACCACUGCGAAGCCUCAGCUGUCAUAUCGACUUUCCUCUUACUGCAAGCUACGCACUGAAGCACUGUGCCCUUUCAUAUCAAAUACAUCAUUAACACAGAUCCUUUUUCCCCCAUCAGAACCAAACGCUGAGUGCAGGGACUCGAGUGCUCCAGCAGCACAGCCAUCCCGAGAUACCCCCACCAUGCUGACUGCUGGCCCUGCCUGCAUCUGCAUGGGGCUGCCCCACAGGCUGUGACCCAGAGGCACCAAACCCAGCACUCAGAGAGGGGCACUCUGAUAAUUCAACUCCCAUGUCUUUCUGUGAUUAAGUAGCAUGCUGCUAUUUAUUUAAACCUCUUCGGAAACAGUGAACAGAAGAGUCAUGUCUAUUUUCAGGCAUUUCAAAUUUGUUAUAUGUCUGUACUCAUAGAGACAUAGAGAGAUUUAUAUACCCAGUACAGAAAAACUCACAUAGGGAUGCAAAACACAAACCCCUAACGUACAAAUCAGGAGGAGCCAUAAAAGCUGCACUACAGUCUCUUGUCCUCCUCCCAGACACAUCUCCCAAAGGACUACAGCUCCCAGCAUGCUCCAAAGCCAACACAUUUCUGUACCAGGUGCUUGUUUGCAUCCAGGGGCAAUCACCUCACCUGGCCAAACAGGAGCAAAACGUGGCACAGCUGCUCCAUAAUCUGUAAAAUUUGGUGCAGCUGCCAGCUUGCGAGUGUAGCCAAUGAAAAAGUGGGUGCUGGGUGACACGAGCUUCCCCACCUAGAGGUCUAUGUGUGUACAGGACAGGCUGCUUUGGAGUGAGACUGUGCCAGCAGCCUUAGGCUGGGUGUUAACACCCCAAAGGGUGGAUGAACUCACAGCACGUCCUGGGUGCCUUCAUGGGAAAUACCUUUAAAGCACUCCUGUUUCUUUCCCCAGAGUGAACUGGCUGUGUAAGAGCACUUGAAAUUCUUCAGUCGGGGAAAAAAAAAAGCACACCAAAAACACCCUGGAGGAUGAUCAAAGGUGAAUGAGAAGCUUGGCCACGGAGCAGACCCCAGUGGAGAUAGCAGUUCUUUAAGGCUUUCAAGCAGCUGACAAGAAACCAUCAAGUUCUGAGAGCUCCACUCCUAUGAAAGUCAACAGUCCUUCAAGAAAGAGGACCCAACUUGCUGGAGUGGCUUAUCUGGACCGGAGCCUACUCCUACCCAAGACCUGAAAGACCUCAGGGAAGAUGUCAGUGGAGGCAGCCAGAAGACUGGGGAGCCUCAGUGGUCUCAAAAGCAAGCCACAAGAAAACACUGUCACCUGAUGUGGGUCAUGGUUGGGCAGUAAUACCGAUGGCCAAAGUGUGGGGGUCACCGUGGGGAGGACUAGUGCUGGAGGAAGAGGUUGAGUCACGUUCUCUGGGGUUAAUUAUAUGGUGGAUGCUGAUGAACUAGGCAAAGAGCUUAAAAUCUAUAAGGAAUUUGUAAUGGGAAUUUAUCUUCAUACCUAUACUGCUAUUGAUCAAAAUGGUAGUCAGCAGAUGUUCAGACCCUAUUGAUCAGCUUGGAUAUAUUAUCGGUGGCUGUAUUCUAAAUAGAGUUCAGUGCACUAAGGGAAUUUUUUCCUUGUCUUUAUUUCUAUUUUCCUGUCACCAUGACAAUGUAUAUGUAAACAUUUCUUAUUUAAAAAUAUCAAAUAUGAGAGCAGAUUUGAAGUAUUUUGGAAUUUAAGUGCUGGGAUCAGAAUAACAUGUGUGGUGAUUUGACAUGAGCUGAAAAUAUACCCAAAGGCUCCUUUCCAGCAUGCUGACAAAACAUAUAAAUUAGCCUGGCAAGGGUCUGGCUCUCACCGGAGCACAGUGCAGAGUCCUGAUCCAGAGGAGCAGCCACUGCCCCAGAUAUGCAGUGAAUCAUCAUUUUUCUAGCAGAG